ensembl:lncRNA
GAGGGGGGAAGAACAUAGGAGGAAGAGCAGCAUGGGUACACGGAGCAGAGGGGGGAAGAACAUAGGAGGAAGAAAACGCUAGGAGGAGGCACAGGGACAAAAUACAGAGCUUUCUUGACUUCUCAAACACAGCAGAAAGCCUUUUGGAGAAGUACGGUACUGAGCAGUACAGUACCUACACUGGCUAUGCAGACAGCUACCUAUGGGACGGCAAACAUCAGGACAAGACCCCAAGAGACACCUGGCAGAGGAGGUGCACAGAGAUCGUAGCGAUGGACGCCCUGAAGUUCAGGAACUUCCUCGAACAGUUUCACCCUGAGAAAAUGAACAGAGAACUGAAUAAGGCAUACUGUGGCUUUUCCCGCCCAGGGGAGAGGAGUCAGGAUCUCUCUGCGGUUGCUACAGGAAACUGGGGCUGUGGUGUGUUCGGUGGAGACGCUAGGUUUAAAGCUCUGCUCCAGAUUCUGGCAGCCUCUGAGGCAGGCCGAGACGUGGCCUAUUUCACCUUUGGUGACAGCGCCCUGAUGAAAGACGUCUACGACAUGCACUACUUUCUCACACAGAGACAUGUCAGCGUCGGGGCUCUGUACAGUUUGCUGGGUCAGUACUACAGCUCAAUGUGUCAGAGCUGCUUCACCCGCCGUCCUGACAUCAGCCUCUACUCCUUCAUCUACCAGGAGGCCAGCUCUGUCUCCCCCUAGACCAGAAACACACACGCAGGUCGGCUCCCCUAGAAGAUCGGAGACGCCACGUCACACAGGUCGGCUCCGCCUAGAAGACCGUAGAUGCCCCCCCCCCGGACACAAAACAAGCGCUGUGCCCCGCGAGAGAUUCCAGUGGAAGUUUGUCUUGUCAUUCUGCUACUGGUAGCUGAUACGCACAUGGAUAGAGAUUCGAUGUGUUGAGAUUUGUGAUUUGGAAUGGUAAAGCCAAAGGCUGUCAUCCAUCUUGUGAGUGUGUCAUGUUUCCUUGGUUUUACCCCCCAACAUAAAUCCAGACUAAAUGAAUCAGUUGUCAGAAAUUCAGUUGAUGGAAAGAAUGAAUAGAGCCGUUCUUAGAGGGUAUUUAAAAAAUUUUUUAAAAAACGUUUUAAUUUGAUCAUAGGGAAAUGAUCUUUAGUCUUUAGGCUGGUUACUCUGUUCUCCACUGGAGAGAAGCUGACUCUGUGUGGGGAUGAUCACUUAAAGUGUGUGCUGUGAUCAUUUAUUUUAUUUUUCAAAUAUUUCAGAUUACCAUGGCCCUGGCCAUGGUCCUCUAAGUGGAUAUAUUACCAUGGGCCUAGCCAUGGUCCUCUAAGUGGAUAUAUUACCAUGGGCCUAGCCAUGGUCCUCUAAGUGGAUAUAUUACCAUGGGCCUAGCCAUGGUCCUCUAAGUGGAUAUAUUACCAUGGGCCUAGCCAUGGUCCUCUAAGUGGAUAUAUUACCAUGGCCCUAGCCAUGGUCCUCUAAGUGGAUAUAUUACCAUGGCCCUAGCCAUGGGCCUCCAUUCAGUGGAUAUAUUACCAUGGCCUCCAUUCAGUGGAUAUAUUACCAUGGCCUCCAUUCAGUGGAUAUAUUAUCAUGGCCCUAGCCAUGGGCCUCCAUUCAGUGGAUAUAUUACCAUGGCCUCCAUUCAGUGGAUAUAUUACCAUGGCCCCCAUUCAGUGGAUAUAUUACCAUGGCCCUAGCCAUGGGCCUCCAUUGAGUGGAUAUAUUACCAUGGCCUCCAUUCAGUGGAUAUAUUACCAUGGCCUCCAUUCAGUGGACAUAUUACCAUGGCCUCCAUUCAGUGGAUAUAUUACCAUGGCCCCCAUUCAGUGGAUAUAUUACCAUGGCCCCCAUUCAGUGGACAUAUUACCAUGGCCCCCAUUCAGUGGAUAUAUUACCAUGGCCUCCAUUCAGUGGAUAUAUUACCAUGGCCUCCAUUCAGUGGAUAUAUUACCAUGGCAUCCAUUCAGUGGAUAUAUUACCAUGGCCCUAGCCAUGGGCCUCUAUUCAGUGGAUAUAUUACCAUGGCCUCCAUUCAGUGGAUAUAUUACCAUGGCCCUAGCCGUGGGCUUAAGUGGAUAUAUUAUUUGUUAUUUUUGUGCCACAUACAGGAAAUAAUGUGAACAAGUGUACUUAAUGACACCCUGUCCAAUAAUAUAAUUAGAUUUUCAACUCUAAGUAGUUGUCUGACUGUAGGAAAAGUGAUUUAUUAAGAUAGUGCUGUAUGCCUCAACAUCUUAAAACAUUGAAAAGUGAGAAAUUGGUUUUGAAUUGUUUUAUGUGAUUAUGGAUUUUUGGGGGGAGGGAUAAUUAAUUAAAAAUAUGUAACUCGUUUUAUA